AAACAUGAUGUGGACAUGAAUUUAUGAGAUCCUUGAAUCUCUCCCAACAUUGGAAGAAGUUCUUUUCCUCUUUUUGGGAGAAAUUCAUGAUCGCCCUUCUUAAAGUGU